UUCUCCCAGUAGGAGGGGAUUAUAACAUUCCGUUAACUUCUAAUCAUUUUUAUUGUUAUGCGAUUUAAAUUUUAAUAAUGUUCUGUUAUUAAAUUCUACUUGAAACAAUUACUAAUAAAUAUUUCGUCUUUCACUGACGACAUCACAAACCUAUAGAUUAGCAGACCUGUACGUUUUGUACCUUGUGUACUCCUGGCGGUAAACCCAUGAACCGUAUUGUGACAUGGUCGGCGUAGAACGGAAAAUAAGAUAUCACUUUGGUCGGAGCCUUCAGCCGAAUAAGUACCUAGUGGCAGAUAAGCUAUCCACGUAAAAGUGGCGAAUAUUUCAUUCUUGUUUCAAGUCAUAGUAUUAUUUUGAAAAGAAAUUAUCCAAGUUUAUUACGUAUGUGUUUAGUGGGCUGAAGAAACGAGGUUGGAGGUUCGCAGCAGUGAUUUGUGGUUUAUCUGCCACUGGGGAAAAUCUUUUAACUACUCCUACCACCUGAGAAGGACCGCUUUUCGACCAAGUCACCUAGGGGACAAGUACUAGAGGAACAUGUAAUUUUUGUUCUUCAUUAUCCUGCAUUUUGGAGAAUUGCCGUGUUACGGUUGACUGCGUAGCACCAUUCUGUGCUUAAGACUUUACUGAGAAGUAGUAAGGAAAACUUGUGGGGACAAUAUCAGGUCAAUCGGGUUUGUUUCGGGAACUUUUUAUAUUUAACAGUGCAAUAGUUAUCUACCUAUACCAGUACACUUAUACACUUAUUUUUUUUAUAAUAUCCAGAACAUUUAAGUAAUUAACAUACACAUAAUUCAAUAGCGCUCCCACACCUGUAUGUCUCUUUGUAAAAGAGGAUAAUUUGGGCCCAAAUAACCUUUUCCCAUACAGUAGUUCCUUACAUUUAUUUUUUAUUAAUAUUAUUAGACUUGUUUCCCAUAUUUUUCAUAUAACUAUAUAUAUAUUUUAAUAUUAUUAGCUUGUUUCUUGUAAUUUAAAUUCCCAAUUUGUUUGCUUAACUUAAAUUCAUUUGUUAUUAAAUUAAAUUCAAUCCCUAAUCCCUAUCCCUUCAGGAUAGCUAUUAGUUUCACUUGGUCAUUAUUAAAAACCACGAGUCAGAAAAAGGAUCUUUAUCAUCUAGGACUGCGUUGGUUCAGUUAGGUGUUGCCUAUUCAACUCAUUGAGUUAUAUAUAUUUGUAUGGUUCAUCCUAGGUAGGUAUUUUAGUAUUGAUUUCUUGUAGUAUUUAACGUUGCUGUACGUAUUACAAUCGUACGAUUAUUUGGUGAAGGUUGUUGUUUAACCUUAGUGUAAGUUGGGGGUACGCUCCAUAUAAGAGCUACCCCAGUACUAAUGUAAUUAUAGUUGUAUACUCAUAUUCAGAUAAGUAGUUAAGUCAAAUUGUCAUUUUAGAGUUACAUAGGUUGUAUUUUUUCUAACUCAGAGGUUGUCAAUAAUCUAGGUAGUUAUAUUUUAAUAAAUAUUUAUUUGUUUGUA